UACGAAGGGGGCUAGCGUUGUUCGGAUUUACUGGGCGUAAAGCGCACGUAGGCGGAUCUUUAAGUCAGGGGUGAAAUCCCAAGGCUCAACCUUGGAACUGCCUUUGAUACUGGAGAUCUUGAGUCCGGGAGAGGUGAGUGGAACUGCGAGUGUAGAGGUGAAAUUCGUAGAUAUUCGCAAGAACACCAGUGGCGAAGGCGGCUCACUGGCCCGGUACUGACGCUGAGGUGCGAAAGCGUGGGGAGCAAACAGG
rnacentral:rRNA from 1 species